UAUCACGUUGAAAUUACCUUUUCCCGUGCGAUCACCGAAGUUAAACAACGUCGAGCCUGUUCAGUACCAAGAUGGGUGACCGCUUAGCAAUACCAGGUGUUGAAAG